rnacentral:rRNA from 1 species
UACGUAGGUGACCAGCGUUGUCCGGAUUUACUGGGCGUAAAGAGCGCGCAGGCGGUCGUUCAAGUCGAGUGUGAAAGCCCCCGGCUCAACUGGGGAGGGUCACUUGAUACUGAUCGACUCGAAGGCAGGAGAGGGAAGCGGAAUUCCCGGUGUAGUGGUGAAAUGCGUAGAUAUCAGGAGGAACACCGGUGGCGAAGGCGGUUCUCUGGGCAUUACCUGACGCUGAGGAGCGAAAGUGUGGGGAGCGAACAGG